rnacentral:lncRNA from 1 species
CCCAAGAAGCCCCUGCUGCCCAAAAGGAGGCUUUCCACGGUGACGCUUCCUAUGCUGAAACUAGAGGACGGACAGGGAGAGCAAGCUGCAGGAGACAAGCCCCCUGAGAGGUGAGAGAGAUGGAGAGACGUAGCGGGUACUGGUGUGCCCUGGUCAUGGUGGCAGGGAGAUGUUUGUGUCAGCCACACUGCUGGGCAAAGGGCAUGGAAGUUUUCCUGCAGGAGAUAACUGGCAGUUCUGCUUUUCUCCCUAUGUCCCCGUCUCCUUUCACACAGUCCCUGCAACCCUAAGCACAGCAGCGUGACCACUUUCAGGUGCUUAAGCAGUGUGAUGUCUUUCAAGUCACUGUCAGCUGGGGCCUUUGCACAAGACCAUCAUCUCAGAUGAUGCUGUCUUUCUCUUUGUCCCACUCAGAGAGGGCUUAGUCUUGAGCACCUCUUUCUCUGUCUUUGAGAACACAAAUCGUUGGCUAUACAGCUCUGCUGAACAACCACCUUCUACUGCAGAGGAACGGGCUCACAAAGUAGAUGCAAGUGUAUUUGGUGGAGUCCCAACACUACCCGCUUUGUAUUUUUAGUGUGCCACCAGCCAUUGAGAAGGACUAUUCAAAGAAGGGCAUGAAAAAAAUGACGCACCACGUCAGGAGGAAAACUGAAAUCCCUGCCUGCAAAGGCCAUCAGAGAGUAGGACAGGAGGUCUGCUACCUGUGCAUGCAGCAAGAGGAACGAAGUCUGCGGGCAGCCCUGCUGAAGCAGAAGGAAGAGCAAGAAAGGGCUGAGUGGGCAGAACUGCAGGCCUGGCAGGCCAGGAUGGCAGCGCUGCGCGCCCAGGUACUGGCGGUGACCUCAGCCACGCAGAGGACUGGCACUUCUGUCCCCUCUCAGGGCUGCUGAGUUGUUUUCCCAAAACCCGGGGGGCAACUCACUGCUGUCUCUGAGUCUCCUCUGCUCCUGUCCAGGAGAGAGAAUUGCUCAAUACCGGACUCAGUGGACAAUUCGUCAACUAGCAGACAAACACAGCCCUCUCCUUCCUACCUUGAACAUGGGGAGGCUCCACCAAGGCUGCCAGCCCUGGCAUCGGAGCAGCAGCUCUCCCAGGCAAGGGCUAUCCCAGCCCCAGGUGGCUGCCUGCAGGGGAGAGCUGGGCGCAGGGCAGCUCUUCAUGCUCACCUGUUCUGCUACAGGCAUGAUGUACUGGUUUGCCCCUCCUAGUACGGUGAGGUUUUUAAGUCUGAUUUGUAACCAAAACCUCUGGACUUCACCAGCCACCCUGACAUAAAAAGAAACAAGUUUGUUCCUUUGGCUUCAGUGCUUGAAAGACGAAGCCUUCAAUGCUCUUGUGCUUGGAGGAGCAGACUAGGCUGUGUCCGGAGAAAGGCUGCACAAUCCCCAGGUGCCUCCUGUGCUGUGCUAUGCAGGGAUCAUUCCUUUGCUGGCCCCUCAAGCCAAAAUACAUUCCUUUUUUUUUUUUUUUUUUUCUUUCCCUCAUUGCAUAACAGAGAGCACGUGCUGCAUGGAAGCUGGAGGUUGCUAAAACAGCCAAAAAGGAAAACAGAGAAUACGAUUACCUGGUAAGAAGUUUAUAAAAAAGAAAAUGAGGUCCCCAGCAGAUGACUGCUGUGUCUCAGCUGUGCCACUUGGGAAGCGCAGCGAGCCCCUGCUCUGACCUUGGCACCUCCAUGGGGACUUGCAGCGAUGAUUCUCCAAAAUCCCCUGGCAUAUCUGCAGUGUCCCUGAUGCAGUCCCCCACUGGGCUGGUGCUUCUGGGCACGCUCAUUUGCCUGCUGCUUGAUAAGCCUCGCUCUCUCUCCAGAAAUCCUACUGGUCCCCUCCUUCAUCCUACACCAUAAGAAGAGAGUAUGACAGAGAGCUCCAGGAGAGGAGGGAGGUUUGG